UACGUAGGGUGCAGGCGUUAAUCGGAAUUACUGGGCGUAAAGCGUGCGCAGGCGGCUCCUUAAGUCAGAUGUGAAAUCCCCGGGCUUAACCUGGGAACUGCGUUUGAAACUGGGGAGCUGGAGUGUGGAAGAGGGGGGUGGAAUUCCAUGUGUAGCAGUGAAAUGCGUAGAGAUAUGGAGGAACACCGAUGGCGAAGGCAGCCCCCUGGGCUAACACUGACGCUCAUGCACGAAAGCGUGGGGAGCAAAC
rnacentral:rRNA from 1 species